GGAGGCGUGCGAAGGUAAGCUAGAGCUGGUCGGAAAUCAGCUUGAUAGUAUAAUGGCAUAAGCUUGCCUGACUGCGAGGCUGACAAGCCAAGCAGAGACGAAAGUCGGUCAUAGUGAUCCGGUGAUUCUGUAUGGAAGGGUCAUCGCUCAACGGAUAAAAGGUACGCCGGGGAUAACAGGCUGAUGGUGUUCGAGCGUUCAUAGCGACAACACCGUUUGGCACCUCGAUGUCGACUCAUCACAUCCUGGAGCUGAAGAAGGUCCCAAGGGUUCGGCUGUUCGCCGAUUAAAGUGAUACGUGAGUUGGGUUUAGAACGUCGUGAGACAGUUCGGUUUCUAUCUGCCGUGGGUGAAGGAAAUUUGAGAAGCUCUGACUCUAGUACGAGAGGACCGAGAUGGAUAUACCUCUGGUGUACCAGCUGUUAUGCCAAUAGCAUCGCUGGGUGGCUAUGUAUAGAUGGGAUAAUUGCUGAAAGCAUAUAAGCAAGAAACCCUCUUCAAAAAGAUUUCCCAAUUAAGGCCGUGGAAGACUACCACGUUGAUAGGCUAGGUGUGGAAGCAUGGUAACAUGUGAAGCUAACUAGUACUAAUAGCCUGAUUGAUUUAUUUGCUUUC
rnacentral:rRNA from 1 species